AAUGUACUCCCUCCGUUCCAAAUUACUCGUCGCAGAAAUGGAUGUAUCUAGAACUAAAAUACAUCUAGAUACAUCCAUAUCUGCGACAAGUAAUUCGGAACGGAGAGAGUAUGAG
rnacentral:pre_miRNA from 1 species